rnacentral:rRNA from 1 species
GAUGAACGCUGGCGGCGUGCCUAAUACAUGCAAGUCGAGCGAACAGACGAGGAGCUUGCUCCUCUGACGUUAGCGGCGGACGGGUGAGUAACACGUGGAUAACCUACCUAUAAGACUGGGAUAACUUCGGGAAACCGGAGCUAAUACCGGAUAAUAUAUUGCACCGCAUGGUUCAAUAGUGAAAGACGGUUUUGCGGUCACUUAUAGAUGGAUCCGCGCCGCAUUAGCUAGUUGGUAAGGUAACGGCUUACCAAGGCAACGAUGCGUAGCCGACCUGAGAGGGUGAUAGGCCACACUGGAGCUGAGACACGGUCCAGACUCCUACGGGAGGCAGCAGUAGGGAAUCUUCCGCAAUGGGCGAAAGCCUGACGGAGCAACGCUGCGUGAGUGAUGAAGGUCUUCGGAUCGUAAAACUCUGUUAUUAGGGAAGAACAAAUGUGUAAGUAACUAUGCACGUCUUGACGGUACCUAAUCAGAAAGCCACGGCUAACUACGUG